GAAAGGUCCAAAUAUCCACUUGCAGAUUCUACAGAAAGUGUGUUUUGAAACUGCUCCAUCCAAAGGAAUGUUCAGCUCUGUGAGUUGAACUCAAUCGUCACAAAGUGUUUCCUGGGAAUGCUACUGUCUAGUUUUUAUGGGCAGUUAUAUCCUCUCCUGCCAAAGGCCUCAAAGCGGUCCAAAUCUCCCCUUUCAGAUUCUACCAAAAGUGUGUUUCCAAACGGCUCUAUCAAAGGGAAUGUUCAACUCUGUGACUUGAAUGCAAUCAUCACAAGGCCGUUUCUCAGAAU
rnacentral:lncRNA from 10 species